UACGUAGGGGGCUAGCGUUGUCCGGAAUCAUUGGGCGUAAAGAGCGUGUAGGCGGCCCGGUAAGUCUGCUGUGAAAGUCCAGGGCUCAACCCUGGGAUGCCGGUGGAUACUGUCGAGCUCGAGUCCGGAAGAGGCGAGUGGAAUUCCUGGUGUAGCGGUGAAAUGCGCAGAUAUCAGGAGGAACACCAAUGGCGAAGGCAGCUCGCUGGGACGUGACUGACGCUGAGACGCGAAAGCGUGGGGAGCAAACAGG
rnacentral:rRNA from 1 species